CACGUAGGGCGCAAGCGUUGUCCGGAAUUAUUGGGCGUAAAGAGCUCGUAGGCGGCUAUUCGAGUCGGGUGUGAAAUCCUGAGGCUUAACCUUGGGUCUGCAUUCGAUACUGGGCGGCUUGAGUCUGGUAGGGGGAUCUGGAAUUCCUGGUGUAGCGGUGGAAUGCGCAGAUAUCAGGAGGAACACCGGUGGCGAAGGCGGGAUCCUGGGCCAGUACUGACGCUGAGGAGCGAAAGCGUGGGGAGCAAACAGG
rnacentral:rRNA from 1 species